CCUACGGGUGGCAGCAGUGAGGAAUAUUGGUCAAUGGGCGAGAGCCUGAACCAGCCAAGUCGCGUGAGGGAGUACUGCCCUAUGGGUUGUAAACCUCUUUUGUCGGGGAGCAAAAGCCGGACGUGUCCGGCUGUGAGAGUACCCGAAGAAAAAGCAUCGGCUAAAUCCGUGCCAGCAGCCGCGGUAAUACGGAGGAUGCGAGCGUUAUCCGGAUUUAUUGGGUUUAAAGGGUGCGCAGGCGGAUUUUUACGUCAGCGGUAAAAUCGUGGGGCUCAACCCCAUCCAGCCGUUGAAACUGGGGAUCUAGAGUGUGCGAGAGGUAUGCGGAAUGCGUGGUGUAGCGGUGAAAUGCAUAGAUAUCACGCAGAACCCCGAUUGCGAAGGCAGCAUACCGGUGCACAACUGACGCUCAGGCACGAAAGCGUGGGUAUCGAACAGGAUUAGAUACCCGUGUAGUC
rnacentral:rRNA from 1 species